ACGCGCUCUGAUUGGUCGGGCUAGCGUAGGCUACGCGUUCUGAUUGGUCAGUGUUUUCCGUUAAUAUCUCCUCAAUGAAGCCUCGGACAACAUUUUUGCUAAGGAAAAAGUUAUUUUAAAUCACCUCCCGAACCACCCCUUUCAUGGCAUCACACCAUUUUUGGGACACCCUGUAUCCAAACACUUGUUACAACAAAAAUUUUAUUAAUUUUCAUAUCGACCUCAUUUCAUUGUUUAAAUUUUAUUUUGUUUAUACUCGGAAAGUUUAGCCCCAAGUUCUACAUACAUUCUACAUACGAAACUUAAAAUGAAAUGAAAAUAACGUUGGAAACUUAAAAUUUACAUUUACAAUUUGAAUGCACCCAUUUCUUAGGGCACCUAAAGGUGCCAGUUUUAAGGUCGUACUAGAUACCUUACUGACGGUAGAGACGGUGCGCAUGCGCGAAUGGGCAGCAACCCCGACAUUGCUGCUCCCAGGGCCUCUCCCUAAUGCAUACGUAAUAGAAAGAAAACCGUGGGGGUUUUAGUGGGUAGAGCCUGCACUGCUGCGAGCAAGUAGGGAAUCCCACGCAAUUCCCGGUCUUCCCCAAAAGGUCGGGAACGUUUCUAAAAGGUUUUUCCCCACGCAAAAAAAAAAGGGAAAAAAAGCUGAUGGAGGAUCUAUGAAGGCGGACAGAUCUCUGAGAGUAAAUAUAUCCUCGCCACCAAGCCAGCAAUAUGGUAACGGGAAGAUACGAUACGGGAAUGUAGUAGCUGAUGUGUAUCAUUUCAUUUAAAAAUUCCAUUUAUCAAAAACUAUACCAUUCCAUUAAAAAAACUGAAGGUCACAGAUCACAUCAGGUAAGGAAAAAGUUGUUUCAAAUCACUUCAUAUCGACCUUAUUUCAUUGUUUGAAUUUUGAAAAAAAUAUAUCAUUCCAUUUAAAAAUUCCAUUUAUCAAAAAAUAUACUAUUCCAUUAAAAAAACUGAAGGUCACAGAUCACAUCAGGUAAGGAAAAAGUUGUUUCAUGUCACUUGGUAUCGACUUCAUAUCAUUGUUUGAAUUUUAUUUUGUUCGUACUCGGAAAGUUUAGCCCCAAUUGUUGUCUCUGUUGAAUGCACCCAUUUUUUAGGGCACCUAAAGGUUUAAAAGGCAAAUUUUAUACUGGAUGAAACGUAAUGACUCAAGAUUAUUAACUAAUUCAGAGAAUCUCUGUAAUUUAGAUAGACUCGAUUCGAGGAGACAGAUAAGGAACUUGGUGUACUUAAUAACAGCAUCGAUACGUAUCACAGCUGUCCAAGCAUGCAGUCCCCGUGGAACCUUGGGACGAUAAGGAGCGAUAACAAUCCACCCUGGACUGACCAAGGAUGGCCACUACUGACCGGCGACUCUACAAGAAGAAAUUGGGAGCUGAUGGAUAGGAUGGUCUCGGUGGAAACUGUGCAUCGCUUUCUCUCCCUAACUGGCACUCAAGAGAUAUAGCAUUCAACUUAGCCCGAGCCCUACGGUCAUUGUACUGUAUUGCCCCUGAAUGACCUAAGAUGACCCACAUAUUACAAGUCGAUUGGGCACAUGUUGCAUAAGCCUGUAUCUCAUUUAAAAAGUAGAAUAUACUUUAUCUAAAUCUAAACGAACGAGCCAAAAAAUUGAAAUAUAUACAAGUACCCCCUGCCCUGACAAAUAGAUCGAAAUAGAUGGAAUUGAAGUGGAGUAUCUUUCAUCUUGCGAUUAGUAGAAUUCAUUUGAAAUAAAAUUGAUUUCAAUGAAAGAAAAAUACAGUACAAGGCUGAUAUAUUUAAAUAAGAGUUAGAAAUAAUUGAGUGUGACGGAGAAUUAAUUUCUUCAUCUAACGAUUGUUCAAGCAACUCGUAAUGUGUUAGAAGAACAAUAAUAAGCACAAUUUGCUAGCUACUAAACUUAGAAUGUACAUACAGAUAAAUUGUAAUGGCUAUCAGGUUGGGAUUAAUAUGUACACAGAUUCGUUACAAUGGAAGUCACGACGAUUAAAAAUGUAAUUGACAAUUAUAAUUGAAAAUUGAUUUCAAUUAGAAUUAAAGUGAAUUUCAAAUGAUGUUUCAAUUAAUUCAACAUACGAUUAAAAAAAUACAAUCAACAAUUAUAAGGGAAAAUUGAUUUCAUUUAGAUUUAAUGAUAAAAUUAAAUUGAAAUCCAUCUUCAUCAAUUAAAAUUGAAUUUAAUUCAAAACACUGUCGAUAAGUCGACAUUAAUUAAGGGGGUAUUCUAGUCCAGAACUUUCAAAAUAUCAAUUUUCCUUUUUUACAUUUUCUAAAAAUGCAGACAAAAUGUUAAACAAAAAAAUUCCGAAAAAUAACUAAAAACUGACGCUUUAGACUAGAUUCAUUGAACCUAAAAUGCAGCUUCCUGGAAAUUA